rnacentral:rRNA from 1 species
CACGUAGGGUGCGAGCGUUGUUCGGAAUUACUGGGCGUAAAGGGCGCGUAGGCGGCCACCUAAGUCAGACGUGAAAUCCCUCGGCUCAACCGGGGAACUGCGUCUGAGACUGGGUGGCUUGAAUCCGGGAGAGGGAUGUGGAAUUCCAGGUGUAGCGGUGAAAUGCGUAGAUAUCUGGAGGAACACCGGUGGCGAAGGCGGCAUCCUGGACCGGUAUUGACGCUGAGGCGCGAAAGCCAGGGGAGCAAACGGG